rnacentral:rRNA from 1 species
GCACGGCUGGUUGGCUACGUACGGAAGGGAUAACCGCUGAAAGCAUCUAAGCGGGAAGCCUGUUUUAAGAUGAGGUUUCUUUUGAGGUUCCCCACAGACUAUGGGGUUGAUAGGCCAGAUCUAGAAGACGGGCAACCGUUGAAGGUGACUGGUACUAAUACACCAACAAAAAACACAAA